GACAGGCAGGGAAAUCAAACUUCAAAUUAUAGAACAUAAAAGUAAGAUCAGAAAUCAUUCUAUAAAUUCUAUUUUUACAAGCAUUUUGAAGAUUUGAACCAUAGCCCUGAGUCACUUGGGGUCCAGAUUAUAGAAGUUGUCACACCCUCCAAGUGUAUUGAUUUUCAGACCAAACUAUUACAAAGUGAAUCAUUUUGGAUUUUUACUCUCCAGACAGAAUUCCCUAAAGGUUUGUAUGAUACCAACUCUUAUGACUGUUUUUUUUUAUUUUUAUAAAUGUGUUGUAUUUCUUUAAAUGUGACUCAUGAGUUAAUGCUACACACUGCAUUGUAGAAUACCUGUGUGAGAUUCUUUGCUAUUUAAACAACAGGUUGAGCCAUUUAGGAUCAUACUCACAGUACAAUAAAACCUGAAUGCAGAGUAUCAUUGACUGGAAACAGAACGCCUUUUUAGAAAAACCUGUCCUCCUACAGUUUAUUAGGAUAGCCUUCAUCUGUCUUGACAGCUGCAGUGCUGAAAACCUGUCAUCUCUUGUUGUCAAUAAUCAACAUUUUGAAAGCCACAAACAAAAGCACAAUGGAGGAAUUAUUAGCUUAUGUCCACCUUCUUGCUGUCCAUCACAUUAUGGAAUAAAUAGGAUUAUGUGUGUCUAACAACUGUAGUGGUUUAAGCAGAAGAAGCAGUUCUCCCAAAACUAAGAUGACAGAAUCACAAUCAUAUGAUAAUCCUGCUAACUGAUUAUUUCCAGAUUAUUAAUUCCAUAAAUAAUUCUGAAAUUGGUUGACUACACAAUAAAAGUUGAUACUAUUGAUGAAUACACGUGGAUGUUAUCAUGAGAAGAAUUGGUGACUGAGAUGUACGUUUCAAGAUUCCUUUUCUUUUUCUAU